AUGAAAGGAAAAUAUGUGGAUUUCCCUCAACUGCAAUAUAAAGAACGGUUGGCUGAUUUUGCCUUCACCGUGAACAUCAUGGCCCUAAUGAAUGAACUGAAUUCCAAACCACAAGGGAAGGGCCUUUUUGCACAUCAGAUGUACAGCCUUGGCAAAGCCUUCAAGGGAAAAUUACUCCUCCUUACCCUCCAAGUAGAAGUCAACAAUCUCCUUCCGACACUACUAGUCUGUUCUCUAUCAGAUGACAACAGUCUGACCCACCUUCCGACACUACUAGUCUGUUCUCUAUCAGAUGACAACAGUCUGACCCACCUUCCGACACUACUAGUCUGUUCCCUAUCAGAUGACAACAGUCUGACCCACCUUCCGACACUACUAGUCUGUUCUCUAUCAGAUGACAACAGUCUGACCCACCUUCCGACACUACUAGUCUGUUCCCUAUCAGAUGACAACAGUCUGACCCACCUUCCGACACUACUAGUCUGUUCUCUAUCAGAUGACAACAGUCUGACCCACCUUCCGACACUACUAGUCUGUUCCCUAUCAGAUGACAACAGUCUGACCCACCUUCCGACACUACUAGUCUGUUCUCUAUCAGAUGACAACAGUCUGACCCACCUUCCGACACUACUAGUCUGUUCCCUAUCAGAUGACAACAGUCUGACCCACCUUCUGGCACUACUAGUCUGUUCCCUAUCAGAUGACAACAAUCUCACCCACCUUCCGACACUACUAGUCUGUUCUCUAUCAGAUGACCUUCUGACACUACUAGUCUGUUCUCUAUCAGAUGACAACAAUCUCCCCCACCUUCCGACACUACUAGUCUGUUCCCUAUCAGAUGACAACAAUCUCCCCCACCUUCCGACACUACUAGUCUGUUCCCUAUCAGAUGACAACAAUCUCACCCACCUUCCGACACUACUAGUCUGUUCCCUAUCAGAUGACAACAAUCUCACCCACCUUCCGACACUACUAGUCUGUACCCUAUCAGAUGACAACAAUCUCACCCACCUUCCGACACUACUAGUCUGUUUCUUAUCAGAUGACAACAGUCUGACCCACCUUCCGACACUACUAGUCUGUUCCCUAUCAGAUGACAACAGUCUGACCCACCUUCCGACACUACUAGUCUGUUCCCUAUCAGAUGACACUACUAGUCUGUUCCCUAUCAGAUGA
rnacentral:lncRNA from 1 species